GUGGUCGGUUAACAAAUUGGGACAUUUGAUGGAGAAAAGAAAAAAGUGCAGUCCGAAUUCAUAUCCAAUGUCUUAAGGCAAAACAUGAUGAGAAGUUGCAGUAUGCAGUCCGAAUUCAUAUCCAAUGUCUUAAGGCAAAACAUGAUGAGAAGUUGCAGUAAUGCACAUGUAGGCUGUAGCUGUUGUCAAAUAGCAUUGAAAGCUCGAGCUGUAAAGAAGAGGG
rnacentral:lncRNA from 1 species